AAGAUUUUAAGUUAAAUAAACUAAUAACCUUCAAAGUUAUAAAAAUCAAGAUUAGAUAAAUCUUA
rnacentral:tRNA from 1 species